rnacentral:lncRNA from 10 species
CCUUCACUCACCUCUCAUGUAGACCAGCUGCACACCACGUGGCCUUCAACCUAGUGAAUUUUAGUUCCCUGCAAGCCUACAAAAGUAUUCAGACAAACCAACUACUUCCUCCAGUGGGAAUCAGGGGGCACUUCACCCUCUUGUUACUGCAGAGUCGGCCUCCUACAGCCUCUGCUUGCUCACUCUAUUCCCAAGUGCAAUCUCCAUGUGGCCCUGCAAGGCAUUUGGCAUCCUCCUCCUGUGAGCUAAGAGGGAGCUGAGAUCAAGAGGAGUGAGGUGACUUAUCCAAGAUCACAUAGCCAGUGAGUGGCAAAGCCAAGACAACGUAUCUCCUCCGGGCAUCUGAUUCAGACUUCAGCCCUGUUGAAUAACAGUGUGUUCCCAUUGCUCCACAGAAGGCAGACCUCAAGAUCCAGGAGGCAAAGUUCAGGAAGGGGUCAAGACAGGAGUUUGAGAAGCAAGAUUUUCCUGACUGGCUGUUAGAAGAAACCACAUCCCACGGCUGGAUUAGCCAUCUCCAGAAAAGUCUGGCGGAAGUUACCCACCCACACGACAAUCUGAAGAAUGUGCUUGUAAGAUUAAAGUGAUCUCUAGGUCUUCAGGAAGCAGCUGCGUCAAAUGUAAUCUCUGUAAAAUAUUUUUCAUAUUUAGAAAAUAUAAAAGGUUACACAAGUACAUUAACAUGAUAAAAUAAUGAUGAGAUAAUGGCAAGUGUCUCUCAAAUCUAGCUAGAGGAGGAGGGGAGUCCUGAUGCUGACAUCGAGGGGAGGGGAUUUUGGGAAGGUGCAGAUAUAUUAGGUAGACAUACCACCAUUAAAAGGGUGUGUCAAACCAUAAAAGUUUGUAAAAUAUUCUUAGUAACC